GCAAAGAGAUAAAGGGGAACUGAGACCAGGGGGCCAGGCAGCAGCCGGCCGAGCGAACGAGGAGGCCGGGGCAGCCGGGGCAAGACAAGCAGGGCAGGUGCGUAGAAGCCCAGGGCAGGCGGUGGGCCUGGAGCUCAGGAUGUGCGGGAGAGGAAACCAGAAGCACGUUCCUGGGCCAGAUCCCAGCGGGGCCCAGAGGCCUCGCGAAGAAAUGAGGCCUCCACCCUGAAGACAGUGGACAUUUUCCUCCAGGCGAGGGGCAGAUUCUCCUUCUAGAAACUGCCCCAGGGGAUAAAGGGCAAGAACUCCCAGAGGAGUGCAAGAACGGAAGCGGGAAGACCCCAGAGAGAGAUGGUGGCCUGAUCCGAGGAGGCCUCAGGGGGCCCGACUGAGAGGCGGCAGGGUGGAGGGACAGGCCUGAAGGCUCCAGAUAGUUGGAUGAGUCUCGGAGAGCAGUCGGACGUGGGGUGAACACUACGGGGCAACAAGAAGUGUUUGAGCCUCGGGUGCCAUGGGAUGGUGCCCCUGAGAUGUCUCAGAUCUGCAGUCAGCAGACGUGUUCGGUCAAGAGCCACACAGUAAGUGUGCCUAGAUUCGGCAGGCCACGUCGUCUGUGUCAAAACUACUUUCUGUAGCUGUUGUAGCAUAAAAGCAAGCUGCCCGAGAUGGUACAGAAACAAACAGGCAUGCUUGUUUGCCAGUGACACUUUGUUUGCAAAAAAACAGUCGGCAAGCAGAUUUGACCUGUGGGCCAUCGUUUGCCGAUGCCUGCGCUAAAUCCAGAGCUGAUCCAGAUGUGGAGACCCCAAGAAAAGAGCCAAGCAAGGAAACUAAUCUCAUCAGCCUUUCCACCAGGCACCCAUUCCUAUUCCCAACCUGCUAAGAGUUAUGCCACCUCUUUGCUCACAUCUGGGUCUCUUAGGAACCCCAUUUAUGGUCCUCAAGAAUCACCCAGAACUCUGCUAGUCAGACCACAGACAACGUUUUCAUUCUCAUCCGUUAGCACCGACCCUGCACAUGCCCUGGUUUUCAUCUCCACCCAGGGCCAGGCCAUGGGUUUUAUUUCUGGACAAAGUGCUAGUGGGAGCAUAAAGGGACACGGCAACAAAAAUUUACCCGCGGUGUCACAAACGAAUUCACAAAGGCAACAUAGGGACUGGGGCUCUGCCGGGCCAAGAAGGAAAAAACGUACAUCCCAGGUAGAGGAAAGAAAUUAGUAAAUAGAAAACCCGUACAAUAAGAUUUUGAUUUUAGAAAGAUGGUUUCAAUAUGGUGGAGUAGAAGAGGGUGGGACCAGAGCAAGGAGACAAAACGACGAGCUGUUAUAAGAGCCCAGGCAAAUUAGGACAAAGAUCCCAACAAAGGGACGUCUCUUUCAUAGCAAUAGCAGCACAUCAAGUAACGGUGGAUCUUACAGUCAACAGCGUGUGUUGAAAACACAGUAGAAAAUCAAAUCACAGUCGAGCCGGUGCUGUGGACUGAAUCAGUGCGUUUUCCCAAAGUUCCUACGUUGAAAUCUUAACCCCCAGGGUGGCAAUGGUAUUAGGAGACAGGGUCUUUGGACAGUUAUCAGAUCACCAGGGUGGAGCCCGCAUGAUGGGAUCAGUGCCCUUACAGGCAGAGAUGCUUCCUCUCUGGCCUCUCCAUGUGAGGAUCCAACACGAAGUCAAGAGGUCAGCAGUCCGCAAACCAGGGAGGGGACACUUACCAGACACCAAUCUGCCAGCACCUCGAUCUUGGACUUUCCAGCCUUCAAAAAUGUGAGAAAUAGGUGUUUGUUGCUUAAGUCACCCAGUCUAGGAUAUUUUGUUGUAGCACCCAAACCAACACAGCUGGCAAGUCAUCAGAUAUGAACAGUUUCUAUCGUAAUAUUGAAAGAAUGGAGUGACCAAUGGAACAGGGGCAGUGGGAGAGGGGAUGGGCAUUGGUUAGGGUUAAGAAUAGAUUAACCAUAGGGUUAGAUAACAUUUAGGUUAGGAUUAAAAUUAACAGCUUGGCGUAGAAUCGAAGCUAUCACUGGUUCACUUCCCAUUUGAAACAUGAUUCGAAAGACUCUUGUAAUCUCUCUUACUUCACCAAUUCUAAGACGCGCUGUUUUUCGCAUUUUACGUAUCUAGUUUUACACGUUUAUUUUUCGCACCACUGCACGUAGGAGAUCUCCAAAUAUUCAUGUGUUUCCUCAUUUAAUUGCGGGACAUUUCUUUCAUAGCAAUAGCGGUACAUUAAGUAGCGGUGUUCAAAACACAAUAGAAAAUCAAAUUAUUCGUGUUAGUUCACAGGGAGCAGAACCAUCACUGGCGUGCAUUGUUUGCUAAUCGUAUUUUUAAAUCUUACAUCUUCAGCUCUUAGAGACCGUGAAGUACUUUCUCGAAGAAAAGCUAAUCAAGCUCACUUACGUAUUCAGCGCACUGUGUUUUCUGGAGGGGCCGCAGAGGGUUAGGUAGCUAACGUGGUGGUGUUCCGGCAGCGUGUGAGAACAUACGCCAAUUAAACAAUCACCAUUGAGGUGGCUUCUGCCAGAAGUGAGCAUGGCAUUCUUAAAAACGGAAGGUAAGAAACCAGAAAACAUCACAGCAAGAGGUAUGGAAGUUAAAUGCAGGCAUUUAGCAAACAGGUGAAUUCAGUAAACAAAACAGCUAUUUUUAAAACAGCUUGUGACUCAUUACCAACCUACUCUAUGAUUUGAGUUCAUUCAAAUAGGUCUUUUGUUGUGGUUCAAACCGGACUGUGUGAGUUGUGUAAUAAACAGAGUGUCAUGUGAACAUGUUAAUUGCCUGCCUCUGCAAGAGGGCUAGAAAUUUUAAAAGGUGCCUAAGCAUAAGAAAGAAAACCUCUCUGAACAGGAAUUCUGUUCUGUUUCCUGGCCACACAUCUAGAUGAAUGGAACCACCUCCUGAUGGGAGUCCCUGACCCUGAUCCUGUCUGUUCCAAACUGCUUCAUAUCUCUGCCACUCGGGUUCUUCUGAAGUACCAUUUUCACAUCUCUGUUGUACUCCAGAACCCCUAAUGGCUCCCUAGUGCCUCUUGACUAUUGUCCAAACGUGUGUGCCUGACUUGUAAGGCCCCUGAUGGAGUCUAAAUUCCCGCCCCCGGUUCCCACCGUUCCUCUCCUUGCGUCCUCUAACAAAAGCUGACUUCAGUCCACCCUCAAGGCCUUUUCUAAGAUGAUUUUCUCCCAAACUGGAAUGCCCCUUCCGAAACUCCUACCCAUCAAAUUCCACUCCUUCAGGGGGGCUUCCCCCGCUGCAGUCAACAGCCCUGCCAUUCCCAGAGCUCCCCUGUGACAGAAACCUGCGAUCCCAAUCCUGGUGACACAGCCACCCCAGGGAGCUCUGCAGAGGCGGCCAUUUUCUGUGUGACUAAGAUCCAUCGGCCAAAGCCGGCUGGAUCAGGAUGGGCUCCCAAUCUCAUCUGGACAGUCGACAGGCAUGCCGGUGGGCAGAUGAGUUAGCCAGGUGCAAAAGCUCUGCGGCAUUAAGGGUGAUGAGGUACAGGCAGACCAGUGAGAUCCCCUCUCCUGGAAAUGUGAACAGAAGAUCAAGAGAGAGACGGAGAGAGCUUAGAGGCCCAGGAGCGAAAACAUCAAGUGGUCAAGUUACGUUAACAGUAGAGCCUUAGCGAGGGAGCCAGAGUACCUGCUGCUGCCAGGCCACAAGAUUUUGCCCUGUUACAGGAGCAGCCUUGGACCCAGUACAGCCUCCCAAGUUCGCUUUCAACGGGGCUGGUCUAACUCAGUGUCUAUUUUCCCCAAGAACACUGUCUGUACACCUUAUCCUGGAUCCUUGUGAGGUCCAAACCACUGCCUGAGAUUUCUGUUGCCCCCAUGUAUCCAUACAGAAUUUAAGGGGACCUGAAUAAGUAUUAAAUCCAAAAACAAAAGGAGCUAACACGCACAGUGACCUUUCCCAGUCCCUGUGCCCCCACACAUCGGCAGCACUUCUAACCUGAAGCAUGUCAUUUGGUACUCACUACGGAAUGUCUCUCAAGGUCACUAACUUUGCACGUGCAUUAAUUUUGCUUCCCGACAGAUCAUACACUUCCUCAGGGCAGGCCUCGUGGCUCACAUUUCUUUUUUCUCUCUCUUGUCCCGUAUGACCUUGAAAAAGUAAUUUAAUCUCCCCAAGAAUCAGUAUUCUCAGAUGACAGUGGUACCUACUUUCAAGGUUAAUUGUGAAGAAUCAAUGGAAGCAUGUCUAUAAAGUGUUUGGCACAGUGCCUGGCACACACUGAGUGUCUGUCAAGUGCUGCUGGAGGAAGUGAUGGCAGUGGGGGUGUAAUGCUGGUGACGGUCGGAUAGUGGUAUUGGUGGUAGUCGUAGCGGUGGUGAUGGUGGUGGUGGCAGUGGUAGUAGUGACAGUGAUGCUGGUGGUGCUGAUGGUGACAGUGACGGUGGUAGCAGUACCGGUGAUGGGAUGGUGGUGGUUGCGCGAGGUCAUGAGAGUAGUCAUAGAUGGUGGUAGUGGUAGUAGUGACAG